rnacentral:tRNA from 1 species
GGGCACAUAGCUCAGUUGGUUAGAGCGCUUCGUUUACACCGAAGAGGUCCAGGGUUCGAGCCCUUGUGUGCCCA